CAUCUACUUUAGUAAAUUUUAUGAGCUAAGUGUUAUCCUGGUGAAGAUGAUCUAGCCAUUGAACGGGCAGUUCUUAUGUACUUGUCUAUGGGUAAUCUUCGAGAUGCUAAUUACCUUAUGGAUGAAUUAAAGAGACUAGCGGAUUCCCAGGAGCUUUAUUUCCCCGAAUCGGAUUUGAUUCAGUUUAUCACUCUUCUCUUGCUAACGUUGGAAAGAGAUGCCUUGCCUCUAUUUAAUAUGUUGAGAGUGAAUUACAAGUCUAGCAUAGACAGAGAACCUGCAUUCAGUGAGUUGCUAGAUGAAAUUGCUGAAAAGUUCUAUGGCGUACAGCGGAGAAACCCCCUUCAAGGGAUGUUUGGUGACUUAUUCAAGAUAAUGUGCUGAGUAAGAACAUGGCUGCAACCCGAGUUUGUCGGAAUUUGUUGAAAUCUGCGGGUGCUUUGACUGAUCCAGACUGCUGAUUUUCGUUACGUCUUUGGUUUGAUGGCAAAUUCCUU